ACGGGAGGCAGCAGUGGGGAAUAUUGGGCAAUGGGCGAAAGCCUGACCCAGCGACGCCGCGUGAGGGAAGAAGGUCUUCGGAUUGUAAACCUUAGUCAACAGGGAAGAAGAAAGUGACGGUACCUGUGGAGGAAGCCACGGCUAACUACGUGCCAGCAGCCGCGGUAAUACGUAGGUGGCAAGCGUUAUCCGGAUUUACUGGGUGUAAAGGGAGCGUAGACGGUCUGGCAAGUCUGAUGUGAAAGGCAGGGGCUCAACUCCUGGACUGCAUUGGAAACUGUCAGUCUUGAGUGUCGGAGAGGUAAGCGGAAUUCCUAGUGUAGCGGUGAAAUGCGUAGAUAUUAGGAGGAACACCAGUGGCGAAGGCGGCUUACUGGACGAUAACUGACGUUGAGGCUCGAAAGCGUGGGGAGCAAACAGGAUUAGAUACCCUGGUA
rnacentral:rRNA from 1 species